UACGGAGGGUGCAAGCGUUAUCCGGAUUUACUGGGUUUAAAGGGUGCGUAGGUGGGUAGGAAAGUCAGUGGUGAAAUCUUCGGGCUUAACCCGGAAACUGCCAUUGAUACUAUUUAUCUUGAAUACUUUGGAGGUAAGCGGAAUAUGUCAUGUAGCGGUGAAAUGCUUAGAUAUGACAUAGAACACCAAUUGCGAAGGCAGCUUACUUCACGAUCAUUGACACUGAGGCACGAAAGCGUGGGGAGCAAACAGG
rnacentral:rRNA from 1 species